UAGGACCAGCUCAUAUGUUGCGUUAUCUGUAUCUGUUGGGGUAACUUGCAUGCGUGUUAGAAUCGGAGGCUGUCAGUUUGCAGUCAGCAACCUGGGUCUGCUGGGCACAAUGCAGGUGUGUGUUCCUCCCUGGGCCCCCAAGUAACGAGCAUGCGGCAAGGCUGUUACAAAGGCGUUUAGUUUAUUCUCAUCAGUAUCACUGAUAUUCUCAUGGUUCACAUUUGCCAACGCCGCUCCUCUCCUUACAGUAGUUAAAUGUGCAAUCUCACUUGGGGGCCCAGGGAGGGGUGGGGGUUGGGGAGGCAGAUGAGAGGCAGGGAGGACGAGGGCCAGAAACACAAACAAGGAUGUGGAUGUGGAUGGUGAAAUGACACCCUGCAUAGGGGGAUGGGGAGUUAAAAAAGAAAAAAAACUGCCUUCACAUGAAAAUCUAAAACAACAACAAAAAACCACCCACUCUGGGCGAGAACAAAAAGAGAGGAAUGGUAAAAGAGAAAAUUCUGCAAACAACUGCUAACAAUGGAAGUGGACCCGGCCCUGCCCUGCCCUGCCCAGCCCCCAGGAGCUGGGCCCAGCCAACCAGCCAAGGCCUGGGACACCCUUAAACUAUAGCCCUGUUGGGGAAGGUGAACAGGGGAGGGGGACCCACAGGACCCACAGGAGCCUAGGCAGCAGCUGGGACUGGAGUCCUACUGCCUCUUGUAUCUUCAUUU
rnacentral:lncRNA from 1 species